ACUCAAAUGAAUAGACGGGGGCCCGCACAAGCGGUGGAGCAUGUGGUUUAAUUCGACGCAACGCGAAGAACCUUACCUAGGCUUGACAUGUACCGAAGUCGUUAGAAAUAGCGAUGUGCUCGCAAGAGAGCGGUAACACAGGUGCUGCAUGGCUGUCGUCAGCUCGUGUCGUGAGAUGUUGGGUUAAGUCCCGCAACGAGCGCAACCCUUGUCGUUAGUUGCCAGCAUUCAGUUGGGAACUCUAACGAGACUGCCGUGGUUAACACGGAGGAAGGUGGGGAUGACGUCAAGUCCUCAUGGCCUUUAUGCUUAGGGCUACACACGUGCUACAAUGCAUUCUACAAAGGGCUGCCAACCUGCAAAGGGGAGCCAAUCCCAUAAAAGAAUGCUAAGUUCAGAUUGGGGUCUGCAACUCGACCCCAUGAAGCUGGAAUCGCUAGUAAUCGCGGAUCAGCACGCCGCGGUGAAUACGUUCCCGGGCCUUGCACACACCGCCCGU
rnacentral:rRNA from 1 species